GUAGCUCAGUGGUAGAGCAUCAGCUUCCCAAGCUGAGGGUCGCGGGUUCGAUCCCCGUUUCCCG
rnacentral:tRNA from 1 species